CCUACGGGUGGCAGCAGUGAGGAAUAUUGGUCAAUGGGCGCUAGCCUGAACCAGCCAAGUAGCGUGAAGGAUGACUGCCCUACGGGUUGUAAACUUCUUUUAUAUGGGAAUAAAGUGCGGUACGUGUACCGCUUUGCAUGUACCUUAUGAAUAAGGAUCGGCUAACUCCGUGCCAGCAGCCGCGGUAAUACGGAGGAUCCGAGCGUUAUCCGGAUUUAUUGGGUUUAAAGGGAGCGUAGACGGAAGCUUAAGUCAGAUGUGAAAGUUUGCGGCUCAACCGUAAAAUUGCAGUUGAUACUGGGUGGCUUGAGUGCAGGAGAGGUAGGCGGAAUUCGUGGUGUAGCGGUGAAAUGCUUAGAUAUCACGAAGAACUCCGAUUGCGAAGGCAGCUUACUGGACUGUAACUGACGUUGAUGCUCGAAAGUGUGGGUAUCAAACAGGAUUAGAUACCCUGGUAGUC
rnacentral:rRNA from 1 species